CAACAGGGAUUGCCUCAGUAACGGCGAGUGAAGCGGCAACAGCUCAAAUUUGAAAUCUGGCCCCCCCGGGCCCGAGUUGUAAUUUGCAGAGGAUGCUUUUGGCGCGGUGCCUUCCGAGUUCCCUGGAACGGGACGCCACAGAGGGUGAGAGCCCCGUCUGGUCGGACACCAAGCCUCUGUAAAGCUCCUUCGACGAGUCGAGUAGUUUGGGAAUGCUGCUCUAAAUGGGAGGUAUAUGUCUUCUAAAGCUAAAUACCGGCCAGAGACCGAUAGCGCACAAGUAGAGUGAUCGAAAGAUGAAAAGCACUUUGGAAAGAGAGUUAAACAGCACGUGAAAUUGUUGAAAGGGAAGCGUUCACGACCAGACUUGGGCCGGUUGAUCAUCCAGCGUUCUCGCUGGUGCACUCUGCCGGUCCAGGCCAGCAUCAGUUCGCCCCGGGGGAUAAAGGCGGCGGGAAUGUAGCUCCUCCGGGAGUGUUAUAGCCCGCCGCGCAAUACCCUGAGGCGGACUGAGGUUCGCGCUCUGCAAGGAUGCUGGCGUAAUGGUCGUCAACGACCCGUCUUGAAACACGGACCAAGGAGUCGUCUUCGUAUGCGAGUGUUCGGGUGUCAAACCCCUACGCGUAAUGAAAGUGAACGCAGGUGAGAGCUUCGGCGCAUCAUCGACCGAUCCUGAUGUUCUCGGAUGGAUUUGAGUAGGAGCAUACGGGGCCGGACCCGAAAGAAGGUGAACUAUGCCUGUAUAGGGUGAAGCCAGAGGAAACUCUGGUGGAGGCUCGCAGCGGUUCUGACGUGCAAAUCGAUCGUCAAAUAUGGGCAUGGGGGCGAAAGACUAAUCG
rnacentral:rRNA from 1 species